rnacentral:rRNA from 1 species
UGGGGAAUAUUGCACAAUGGGCGAAAGCCUGAUGCAGCGACGCCGCGUGAGGGAUGACGGCCUUCGGGUUGUAAACCUCUUUCAGCAGGGACGAAGCGAAAGUGACGGUACCUGCAGAAGAAGCACCGGCCAACUACGUGCCAGCAGCCGCGGUAAUACGUAGGGUGCAAGCGUUGUCCGGAAUUAUUGGGCGUAAAGAGCUCGUAGGCGGUCUGUUACGUCGGCUGUGAAAACCUAGGGCUCAACCCUGGGCCUGCAGCCGAUACGGGCAGACUAGAAUUCGGUAGGGGAGACUGGAAUUCCUGGUGUAGCGGUGAAAUGCGCAGAUAUCAGGAGGAACACCGGUGGCGAAGGCGGGUCUCUGGGCCGAUAUUGACGCUGAGGAGCGAAAGCGUGGGGAGCAAACA